rnacentral:rRNA from 1 species
AGAGUUUGAUCCUGGCUCAGGACGAACGCUGGCGGCGUGCUUAACACAUGCAAGUCGAGCGAUGAAGUUCCUUCGGGGACGGAUUAGCGGCGGACGGGUGAGUAACACGUGGGUAACCUGCCUCAUAGAGGGGAAUAGCCUUUCGAAAGGAAGAUUAAUACCGCAUAAGAUUGUAGCUUCGCAUGAAGUAGCAAUUAAAGGAGUAAUCCGCUAUGAGAUGGACCCGCGUCGCAUUAGCUAGUUGGUGAGGUAACGGCUCACCAAGGCGACGAUGCGUAGCCGACCUGAGAGGGUGAUCGGCCACAUUGGGACUGAGACACGGCCCAGACUCCUACGGGAGGCAGCAGUGGGGAAUAUUGCACAAUGGGGGAAACCCUGAUGCAGCAACGCCGCGUGAGUGAUGACGGUCUUCGGAUUGUAAAACUCUGUCUUCAGGGACGAUAAUGACGGUACCCGUAGAAGAAGCUCCGGCUAACUUCGUGCCAGCAGCCGCGGUAAUACGAAGGGGGCUAGCGUUGUUCGGAAUUACUGGGCGUAAAGCGCGCGCAGGCGGUCCUUCAAGUCAGGGGUGAAAGCCCAGAGCUCAACUCUGGAAUUGCCUUUGAAACUGUAGGACUUGAGGAUGAGAGAGGUGAGUGGAAUUCCCAGUGUAGAGGUGAAAUUCGUAGAUAUUGGGAAGAACACCGGUGG